rnacentral:lncRNA from 1 species
GUAGAGGCUGGUAUAUAGGAUGAUGUCAGAUUAUCAGAUGAUCCAUUUGGAAAAUUACAAUUCUGACUGUUUCACAUCCUCAGUCAUCACUGACGUCUUUGGGUUUGGUGAAAUAUCUGUCUGAGCAGCUAAACUUGUUUGCUCUGGGCAUAUGAGCUGUUACGCGACAUCAAAAACAGGAUAUCUGAACAUAGAGUUUUUUCCUUUUCUUGAUCAGGGACACUCUUAUGUGUCAUUGACCGACGUGUUAACCAUUAAUUGGCUUAUUUACAUCUGAUUUUAUAUUGCAUUUCAGUUGUGAGCAUGCGUCAUACUUUAAAGUAUAAAACCUGUGGUCCACUGAGUUCUCUCAAGCUGUUGUUAGAGCACUGGAGUGUGUCCAAAAUUUAAAAAUACAGUCACAGGCCAUACUUUCACAUUUGUGGAUCUGACAAUUCUGUAUAGUAAAUGCUGUACAUAUGUUUAUACAGAUUAUGUUUAAAUUCUGAGCCUUUCACUGUUACCAAACUAAACAAAUAGCAGUGUGUGUGGUUUUUCUAAACAAUGCAGUGAGGCAGUUGUGUUGUGUGAUUUACAAGCUUGUUAUGAUUUUGCAAGGCAUUGUGAAAGGUUUGGUAGAGACCUGGAAGUUGCACUAAUGAUUACUUGUCAUGUCAUGAUCAUGGGAAUUUACUGGACCAAGCCCUGGUUUACUCACAUCCAUCCAGUAUUUAAGAAACUGUAUCACUGAUGCCAGAAUAAAUACAGACUGUGACAUUCCAGCAACUGGACACGAACAUCUACACAAGGAUGAAGACAUUACAUGCAAUGCUUCUGAUGCUGUUUGUUGCAUCAGUCUUUUCAAAAGCGUUUGAUUUGCGCAGAAGAUUUGAUUCAUCGGACUCUGUGCGAUCUAGUUUCAGUUCAGAGGAAAAUGAUUCAAGCAGGGAAGACAGGAAGGAUUCACAGUCCGAUGAGAGUUCUGAAUCCAAUGAGUCUAAAUCAAGUGAAUCUGAAUCUUCGGAAGAAGUUAUCAGAGUUGUGUCAAGCACAACAUCAGCUACCGCAACACAAGACAUCACACACUGUGUUACUGUGGAUCUGACAACUGUAAGAAGGGGUGAUAAUGAUAAUGUCAAUAUAAUACCUUGCAGUAAUACUAUUUAAUCAUCUUUUCUUGCAAAACAAACAAAAGUUGAAUGGUGUACUGUAUUUUACAGUAUAAAGUCAUAUUUAUGUACUGAUAAUGAAGGUCUUGAUACUGAAUGAUGUAACUUGAUGUAAAUGUGAUGUAAAAUUACUUUUAAAUUGCAUGUCCCCAUUAUGGUUUUAAAUGUUCAUUCAGAAUAAAAAUCUUUCAAGUGCAAUUGUCAUAAAAAUUUUAUGAUUUCAAAUCUUUCAGUAUAAUGAAAGAAGAAAUAAGCCCUCGUUUUCUAGUGGGAUUCAUUAUUGGUAGUACUUGGUCUAAAAGUCUUGGUACUACUUGGUCUAAU